rnacentral:rRNA from 1 species
UUGGCCCAUUGAUUGAUGGUGCUUGCACCUGAUUGAUUUUGGUUGCCAACGAGUGGCGGACGGGUGAGUAACACGUAGGUAACCUGCCCAGAAGCGGGGGACAACAUUUGGAAACAGAUGCUAAUACCGCAUAACAGCGUUGUUCGCAUGAACAACGCUUAAAAGAUGGCUUCUCGCUAUCACUUCUGGAUGGACCUGCGGUGCAUUAGCUUGUUGGUGGGGUAACGGCCUACCAAGGCGAUGAUGCAUAGCCGAGUUGAGAGACUGAUCGGCCACAAUGGGACUGAGACACGGCCCAUACUCCUACGGGAGGCAGCAGUAGGGAAUCUUCCACAAUGGGCGCAAGCCUGAUGGAGCAACACCGCGUGAGUGAAGAAGGGUUUCGGCUCGUAAAGCUCUGUUGUUAAAGAAGAACACGUAUGAGAGUAACUGUUCAUACGUUGACGGUAUUUAACCAGAAAGUCACGGCUAACUACGUGCCAGCAGCCGCGGUAAUACGUAGGUGGCAAGCGUUAUCCGGAUUUAUUGGGCGUAAAGAGAGUGCAGGCGGUUUUCUAAGUCUGAUGUGAAAGCCUUCGGCUUAACCGGAGAAGUGCAUCGGAAACUGGAUAACUUGAGUGCAGAAGAGGGUAGUGGAACUCCAUGUGUAGCGGUGGAAUGCGUAGAUAUAUGGAAGAACACCAGUGGCGAAGGCGGCUACCUGGUCUGCAACUGACGCUGAGACUCGAAAGCAUGGGUAGCGAACAGGAUUAGAUACCCUGGUAGUCCAUGCCGUAAACGAUGAGUGCUAGGUGUUGGAGGGUUUCCGCCCUU